rnacentral:rRNA from 1 species
UGGGGAAUAUUGCACAAUGGAGGGAACUCUGAUGCAGCGACGCCGCGUGAGUGAUGAAGGAAUUCGUUUCGUAAAACUCUGUUCUAUGGGAAGAAAAGGACUGUACCAUAGGAGAAAGCUCCGGCUAAAUACGUGCCAGCAGCCGCGGUAAUACGUAUGGAGCGAGCGUUGUCCGGAAUUAUUGGGCGUAAAGGGUGCGCAGGUGGCUUUACAAGUUGGAUGUGAAAUAUUGUGGCUCAACCACAAACGUGCAUCCAAAACUGCAAAGCUUGAGUUAAGGAGAGGUAAGUGGAAUUCCUGGUGUAGCGGUGGAAUGCGUAGAUAUCAGGAGGAAUACCGGUGGCGAAGGCGACUUACUGGACUUAAACUGACGCUCAGGCACGAAAGCGUGGGGAGCAAACAGG